rnacentral:lncRNA from 1 species
UCUUCUCUCCCUAGUCCCCCACUGGUGCCCGCCUUCACCCCCACACCACUGGUCUGUUUGGCCCUCCGGGUCCCCUCUCUAGCUGGCCUCCCAUCUUCCCCUGCUGAGCCAGGUUGGUUUCGGAAAUGCCCUUACAGCAGCAGGCAAAGUGAAGCCUAGAGCUAGGAAAGGCGCUCACAGUACCUCUCAGAUGGUUUCAAAACCCCUGAGGGCAAAAGAAGAGCUGCUCUAUGAAGUCCAGAUAGUCCUAAAACUCCAAAAAUCUCCCUCAGAAAAACGCCAUAUGAUACAUCCCUUGGUGUGCUCACCAAGAAGUUCAUUCAGCUCCUGAGCCAGUCUCUCCAUGGGGUCUUGGAUUUGAACAAGGCAGAAAAACUGCUAAAAGUACAAAAGAGAAGGACUUAUGAUAUCACCAACAUUCAAAGCAUCUCCCUCAUUAAGAAGUCUAAAAAUAGCCGGGCAUUUUGGCUCAUGCCUGUAAUCCCAGCACUUUGGGAGGCCAAGGUGGGCAGGUCACGAGGUCAAGAGAUCAAGACCAUCCUGGCCAACAUGGUGAAACCCUGUCUCUACUAAAAAUACAAAAAUUAGCUGGGCAUGGUGGUGUGUGCCUGUAGUCCCAGCUGCUCGGGAGGCUGAGGCAGGAGAAUCGCUUGAACCCAGGAGGUGGAGGUUGCAGUGAGCCGAGAUUGCGCCACUGCACUCCAGCCUGGCAACAGAGCAAGACUCUGUCUAAAGAAAAGGAAGAAGGAAAACAUCCAGUGGGCUACAGUCUGUCUGAGGAUGAGGACAUGCUGGCCCAAUGUCAAGGCCUGUCAAAAGAAGCAACCAAGCUCAGUCAGGAAGAGAAAAAAUUAGAUGAACUGAUCCAAAGCUAUACCCUGGACCUCAAACUAUUAACCGCAGAUUCAGAGAAUCAAAGGUUAGCUUAUGUUACGUAUCAAGAUAUUUGAAAACUUAGUGGUCUUAAAGACCAAAUGGUUAUAAGUUGUGAAAGCCCCUCCAGAAACAAGACUUGAAGCACUUUACUCAAUAGAGAGCCUACAGAUACAUUUGGCAAGUACCCAAGGACCAAUUGAGGUUUACUCCUGUCCGGAAGAGAUGGAAACACACAAUCCAGUGAAAACAAACAACCAAGACCACAAUGGGAAUAUCUCUAAACCCAAUUCCAACGACUUGGAUUCAACCAACACAGGACAUGGCGAUUGGUCAAUUUCUAUGGCAAACCUUUCUCCCUUGGCCUCCCCAGCCAACUUUUUACAGCAGACUGAGGACCAAAUUCCUUCUAACCUAGAAGGACCAUUUGUAAACUUACUGCCUCCCCUGCUGCAAGAGGACUGUCUCCUGAGCCUUGGGGAGGAGGAAGGCAUCAGUGAUAUCUUUGAUGCUGAUGAUUUGGAAAAGCUUCCACUGGUGGAAGACUUC